GCUAUUGGUUCUGCAAAAAUGUCGUACAGAGACGUGCUUUCAGAGCGAGUAUUUUGUGUUUUUUAAGUGAUUUCCUAAUGGCGACAAUACAUUGGUGGUUGUUUUUACUGGUUUCUUUGAACAAUAUAAACAACUCCCAAAAUGUGAGCCACCGAAAUUCGAGUCCAGCGUAUAAUAGAACAACUCCGUUGGUGAGAGGCCCAGCGCAAAUUCAAGUCCCCUAUCAAGAAUCUUUCAGAAGAAAUAGCCUCCAGGACAUUAUCAAAAGUUUACUUGAUGGAGCGAAACCUAAGAAACACAAGAUGAAAGGGGUUGAGUCGGUGUACGAGCCAUAUUGGAUCGGAGGGGAGUGGGUGUUU